CCUACGGGUGGCAGCAGUGGGGAAUAUUGCACAAUGGGCGCAAGCCUGAUGCAGCCAUGCCGCGUGUGUGAAGAAGGCCUUCGGGUUGUAAAGCACUUUCAGCGGGGAGGAAGGCGGUGAGGUUAAUAACCUCAUCGAUUGACGUUACCCGCAGAAGAAGCACCGGCUAACUCCGUGCCAGCAGCCGCGGUAAUACGGAGGGUGCAAGCGUUAAUCGGAAUUACUGGGCGUAAAGCGCACGCAGGCGGUCUGUCAAGUCGGAUGUGAAAUCCCCGGGCUCAACCUGGGAACUGCAUUCGAAACUGGCAGGCUAGAGUCUGGUAGAGGGGGGUAGAAUGCCAGGUGUAGCGGUGAAAUGCGUAGAGAUCUGGAGGAAUACCGGUGGCGAAGGCGGCCCCCUGGACAAAGACUGACGCUCAGGUGCGAAAGCGUGGGGAGCAAACAGGAUUAGAUACCCGUGUAGUC
rnacentral:rRNA from 1 species